AAUCACUUGUCUUUUAAAUGAAGACCCGUAUGAAUGGCANAACGAGGGNUUAACUGUCUCCUCUUUCUAGUCAAUGAAAUUGAUCUUCCCGUGCAGAAGCGGGAAUAANUACAUAAGACGAGAAGACCCUAUGGAGCUUUAGACACUAAGACAGACCAUGUUAAUCACCUCUAAAUAAAGAUUUAAACUAAAUGACACCCUGUCCUAAUGUCUUCGGUUGGGGCGACCAUGGGGAAACACAAAACCCCCACGCGGAAUGGGAGGAUUAACCCUUCUUUUACCCUCCCACAAUUAAGAGUUACAACUCUAACUAACAGAAUUUCUGACCAAGCAUGAUCCGGCAAUGCCGAUCAACGAACCAAGUUACCCUAGGGAUAACAGCGCAAUCCCCUUUUAGAGUCCA
rnacentral:rRNA from 1 species